AACGAACGCUGGCGGCAGGCUUAACACAUGCAAGUCGAGCGCCCCGCAAGGGGAGCGGCAGACGGGUGAGUAACGCGUGGGAAUCUACCCAUCUCUACGGAAUAACCCAGGGAAACGUGUGCUAAUACCGUAUACGUCCCUCGGGAGAAAGAUUUAUCGGAGAUGGAUGAGCCCGCGUUGGAUUAGCUAGUUGGUGGAGUAAAGGCCUACCAAGGCGACGAGCCAUAGCUGGUCUGAGAGGAUGAUCAGCCACACUGGGACUGAGACACGGCCCAGACUCCUACGGGAGGCAGCAGUGGGGGAUAUUGGACAAUGGGCGCAAGCCUGAUCCAGCCAUGCCGCGUGAGUGAUGAAGGCCCUAGGGGUGUAAAGCUCUUUCACCGGUGAAGAUAAUGACGGUAACCGGAGAAGAAGCCCCGGCUAACUUCGUGCCAGCCGCCGCGGUAAAAC
rnacentral:rRNA from 1 species